UUGGGUGAUUUUAAUGAAAUUUUACUUUCUUCUGAAAAAGAGGGCGGUAAUGCUAGACCUAACGCUAUGAUGAGAGAUUUUCGUAAUUGUUUGCAAGAGUGCGGUCUAGAGGAUAUGGGAUGUAUUGGCGAUCUAUUCACUUGGAGAAGAGGUGAAAUUAGGGAGAGACUUGACCGUGAAGUUUGCAAUGUGGAUUGGGCGAAUAAAUUUCCUCGGGCUGCGAUUAUAAAUGAAGAACACGUACACUCUGAUCAUCGACCCCUCAUCCUGGAUACAGAUUACUUUGAUGUGAAUAUGUUUAAUCGCCCAAGGGUCGAGUAA
rnacentral:rRNA from 1 species